GACGAACGCUGGCGGCGUGCUUAACACAUGCAAGUCGAACGGAAAGGCCCUGCUUUUGUGGGGUGCUCGAGUGGCGAACGGGUGAGUAACACGUGAGUAACCUGCCCUUGACUUUGGGAUAACUUCAGGAAACUGGGGCUAAUACCGGAUAGGAGCUCCUGCUGCAUGGUGGGGGUUGGAAAGUUUCGGCGGUUGGGGAUGGACUCGCGGCUUAUCAGCUUGUUGGUGGGGUAGUGGCUUACCAAGGCUUUGACGGGUAGCCGGCCUGAGAGGGUGACCGGCCACAUGAGGACUGAGAUACGGCCCAGACUCCUACGGGAGGCAGCAGUGGGGAGUAUUGCACAAUGAGCGGAAGCCUGAUGCAGCAACGCCGCGUGCGGGAUGACGGCCUUCGGGUUGUAAACCGCUUUCGCCUGUGACGAAGCGUGAGUGACGGUAAUGGGUAAAGAAGCACCGGCUAACUACGUG
rnacentral:rRNA from 1 species